CUACUGAAUGGGCAAAGAAGGAAAAGAAAAAGGAAGCAGGAGCAAGAAAUAAGAAAAAGCAUGGCUUGGACCACCAUCUGCAGAGGCUGAACCUUCUCACCAACUCUCGGUCCCUUGACAGGCGCACACCACAUCUCCAGAGCCCUGAUUCAUGCAAGGAGGUUUGGGCCUGCAAGAGGGAAAACCCCUCCUGCUUUUGGCUGGUUCUCUGUGAGGAAGAGCUUCUGCUGCAGCAGUAAGGGCAGAAGAAAAGAAAGUCGCAGGGUUCCCCAAAUGGCCAUGAAAAUGAGAGAACUCCUCUGCAUUAGCACAAAAUGCCUGUGGCACUGAAAUCUUUGGAUCGUGCCACUGUUUUCUGGUUCCUGAUCUCUUCCAGCUUCCUAAAAAAAUGAAACCAAAACAUGCCUUGGAGCUAAGCAACGUCUCAGAUGUGUCACCAAAAAACAGCGAGACCUACUCACUGACAGGCAGCAGCCGACCAGCAAACAGCCGGAGCCAUCGUCAGAAGCCCGCAAGCGUGGGGUGAGGAGAGGGGCAAUUUUCAGGCUUGAAUGAAUGUGUUAAUCCCAAAGGGGCCCUGUGGGAUGCAUGAAGAGAGCGCUGUCCAUCAGGCACACCACCAGCCUGGGGUCGGUGCAGGGCAGCAUUGCCCUGACUCAUCCAACAGCAUGGGAAGGUGGGGACCCAUUUGGCAAGGGUGACCUUCUGUUUAUAAGCCAUGCAAAAAGUUAAAGACUCAUGAUAUUGC